GAUGAACGCUGGCGGCGUGCCUAAUACAUGCAAGUCGAGCGAAUGGAUUAAGAGCUUGCUCUUAUGAAGUUAGCGGCGGACGGGUGAGUAACACGUGGGUAACCUGCCCAUAAGACUGGGGUAACUCCGGGAAACCGGGGCUAAUACCGGAUAACAUUUUGAACCGCAUGGUUCGAAAUUGAAAGGCGGCUUCGGCUGUCACUUAUGGAUGGACCCGCGUCGCAUUAGCUAGUUGGUGAGGUAACGGCUCACCAAGGCAACGAUGCGUAGCCGACCUGAGAGGGUGAUCGGCCACACUGGGACUGAGACACGGCCCAGACUCCUACGGGAGGCAGCAGUAGGGAAUCUUCCGCAAGGGACGAAAGUCUGACGGAGCAACGCCGCGUGAGUGAUGAAGGCUUUCGGGUCGUAAAACUCUGUUGUUAGGGAAGAACAAGUGCUAGUUGAAUAAGCUGGCACCUUGACGGUACCUAACCAGAAAGCCACGGCUAACUACGUGCCAGCCGCCGCUGUAA
rnacentral:rRNA from 1 species